AGUGUGGAAUGAAUUUUCGGUAAUUGAUUCUAAAUUCCCAGUAUCUAUGAGCAUUUGUUCUUUAAUAAGAUUUACAUGCUAUCUAGUCUAUGUUGGCUCGAAAUUUCAUAUACAAGGCAAAUGCCUUUAAUAACUUGUUUUGUUAUAUCUGUAUCUUUGUGCUGCUCUGAAAGGUCUCUUUCUGUUCUUAUCAACUUGUUCUUUUGGCUCCUGAAUCAUCUAAUGUCCUUUUGGUAUUUAAUAAUGCUCUUCAUUAUUCAGAAUUGGCAAAAUGAUUGCUUUUAAUUAAUCAAUUGACAUUAGUGAUGGAUAAGCUGGAGUGAGACUGCGUACUAUGCUUAGACAAAGCCCAGAAUUUUUUUCUUUUAAAAAAGACAACAACAUAAACAAAAAAAGGACCAACUCAUAGGUUGAUAGAGAGGAAAAAUGGAAUUGCAAAUCAGAUAUGGGGUCACUUUUUUU
rnacentral:misc_RNA from 1 species